AGAGUUUGAUCCUGGCUCAGGACGAACGCUGGCGGCGUGCUUAACACAUGCAAGUCGAACGGACGAUGAAGAGCUUGCUUUUCAGAGUUAGUGGCGGACGGGUGAGUAACGCGUGGGUAACCUGCCUCAUACAGGGGGAUAGCAGCUGGAAACGGCUGAUAAAACCGCAUAAGCGCACAGCAUCGCAUGAUGCAGUGUGAAAAACUCCGGUGGUAUGAGAUGGACCCGCGUCUGAUUAGCUGGUUGGUGAGGUAACGGCCCACCAAGGCGACGAUCAGUAGCCGGCCUGAGAGGGUGACCGGCCACAUUGGGACUGAGACACGGUCCAGACUCCUACGGGAGGCAGCAGUGGGGAAUAUUGGGCAAUGGGCGAAAGCCUGACCCAGCAACGCCGCGUGAGGGAAGAAGGUUUUCGGAUUGUAAACCUCUGUCCUUGGGGACGAAGGAAGUGACGGUACCCGAGGAGGAAGCCCCGGCUAACUACGUGCCAGCAGCCGCGGUAAUACGUAGGGGGCGAGCGUUGUCCGGAUUUAUUGGGUUUAAAGGGAGCGUAGGCGGAUUGUUAAGUCAGUUGUGAAAGUUUGCGGCUCAACCGUAAAAUUGCAGUUGAUACUGGCAGUCUUGAGUGCAGUAGAGGUGGGCGGAAUUCGUGGUGUAGCGGUGAAAUGCUUAGAUAUCACGAAGAACUCCGAUUGCGAAGGCAGCUCACUGGAGUGUAACUGACGCUGAUGCUCGAAAGUGUGGGUAUCAAACAGGAUUAGAUACCCUGGUAGUCCACACAGUAAACGCUGAAUACUCGCUGUUUGCGAUAUACAGUAAGCGGCCAAGCGAAAGCAUUAAGUAUUCCACCUGGGGAGUACGCCGGCAACGGUGAAACUCAAAGGAAUUGACGGGGACCCGCACAAGCGGUGGAGCAUGUGGUUUAAUUCGAAGCAACGCGAAGAACCUUACCAGGUUUUGACAUCCUUCUGACCGCACCUUAAUCGGUGCUUUCCUUCGGGACAGAAGAGACAGGUGGUGCAUGGUUGUCGUCAGCUCGUGUCGUGAGAUGUUGGGUUAAGUCCCGCAACGAGCGCAACCCCUAUCUUCAGUAGCCAGCAGGUAAGGCUGGGCACUCUGGAGAGACUGCCAGGGAUAACCUGGAGGAAGGUGGGGACGACGUCAAAUCAUCAUGCCCCUUAUGAUCUGGGCGACACACGUGCUACAAUGGCGGUCACAGAGUGAGGCGAACCCGCGAGGGGGAGCAAACCACAAAAAGGCCGUCCCAGUUCGGACUGUAGUCUGCAACCCGACUACACGAAGCUGGAAUCGCUAGUAAUCGCGAAUCAGAAUGUCGCGGUGAAUACGUUCCCGGGUCUUGUACUCACCGCCCGUCA
rnacentral:rRNA from 1 species